GACGAACGCUGGCGGCGUGCUUAACACAUGCAAGUCGAACGGAAAGGCCCUGCUUUUGUGGGGUGCUCGAGUGGCGAACGGGUGAGUAACACGUGAGUAACCUGCCCUUGACUUUGGGAUAACUUCAGGAAACUGGGGCUAAUACCGGAUAGGAGCUCCUGCUGCAUGGUGGGGGUUGGAAAGUUUCGGCGGUUGGGGAUGGACUCUCGGCUUAUCAGCUUGUUGGUGGGGUAGUGGCUUACCAAGGCUUUGACGGGUAGCCGGCCUGAGAGGGUGACCGGCCACAUUGGGACUGAGAUACGGACCAGACUCCUACGGGAGGCAGCAGUGGGAAAUAUUGCACAAUGGGCGGAAGCCUGAUGCAGCAACGCCGCGUGCGGAAUGACGGCCUGCGGGUUGUAAACCGCUUUCGCCUGUGACGAAGCGUGAGUGACGGUAAUGGGUAGAGAAGCACCGGCUAACUACGUG
rnacentral:rRNA from 1 species